rnacentral:ncRNA from 1 species
CCGGUUAGCGCGCAGCUAUACAACACCCUUUGGGGGAAAUCUGCGGGCGGUCCUGACACCGUGUUCAAGUACCGGGCCGCCCUCU